AAAAAAUUGCUCUGAAAUUAAAACAAGAGUGAAGUUGCAAACAAGAAUAACUAAGAAACAGGGGACAAUGACACCUUGAGGCUCUCAGUUAUUAGAGCAGAUUUCAGCAAGUGUCUUGGAAUGAUCUAGCUGUUUGUCUAGACUUUCUGAAACAGGUUAUUCAAGGGCACACACAAUCUUUGCCAGGACUAUGCUCUGCACUGUGGCUCUCAACCAGAGCUGCAGGGCCCUGUUCUCUUCCUGCCUGAGGUCCCUUAUCACCCCACACAGUAAAUAUGGGCCUCUUCGUUAUCUGUAUGUCAACUUCUACUCGUGCUCCACUCCUAAACAAAGCACUUGCAUCAAAACAGGAGACAACUGUAACAUUAUUGCAUUAUAUCAUUGCAUAAAGCACCAUGGUUGCAUCAAACUGCAGGGGAAAGAAUCUUCUGGGAGCAUUCUGCGAGUACUCAAGCGCACAACUCUCAUUGUACAAAGUCUGGGAAGGGAGGUUUCAGCAUCAGAAGGGAAAUCUCCCCAGUCCCUGCAGGCUUGGAGAGGACAAGAGAAGAGAUUGACUUUCAGAAAAGACAUCUCCUAUACAGAAGGCCAGAAAAGUGAGGAGCAUUGCCUGACAGCUGUCCUUGUAGCUGAGCACUCUGUAAGAGCAGGAACCUUUCUGCCAUGUGGAGAGAGAUGUUUUUCAUUUUGUGAAACUUCAGCAAGGCAUAGUGCAAAUAUCCACACUGAAAGGACAUACAUAUGCAAAAUGUAUCAUAGAGUGAGAAGUGUGAAAGAAAAAGAAGAAAAGUAAAAUGUAUCUUUUCAAUUAUGGGUAAAUAAUCAACAAUUUUAUGAAAUAUGUAGGUGGUGUUUGUGCAAUUCUCUGUGCCCUGUGUACCUGCAAACAUCAGAAUAUUGACUCCCAAAAGCACUGCUGUCCUAAAACAGUCUUUGUAAAUGACUAUAGAUAGAAACAUAUAGAAAUAUAUGAUAGAAAAUGAAAAUGGGUUUCUGAGAUCCGAUACCAAGUUCUGGGGACAGAACCACACAGGAGAUUGGAGUCAUGGCCAGAAUCCAAACACUUCAUUAUGUUGUGUCAUUUCCUAAAUAAAAGGCAGUUAAAAUGCA
rnacentral:lncRNA from 1 species